CGUGUAGGCGGCCAGGUAAGUCAGAUGUGAAAGUCCCGGGCUCAACUCGGGAAGUGCAUUUGAAACUGUUUGGCUUGAGUAAGAGAGAGGAAAGUGGAAUUCCUGGUGUAGAGGUGAAAUUCGUAGAUAUCAGGAGGAACACCGGUGGCGAAGGCGGCUUUCUGGCUCUAUACUGACGCUGAGACGCGAAAGCGUGGGUAGCAAACAGGAUUAGAUACCCUGGUAGUCC
rnacentral:rRNA from 1 species